rnacentral:rRNA from 1 species
UACGUAGGGUGCAAGCGUUGUCCGGAAUUAUUGGGCGUAAAGAGCUCGUAGGCGGUCUGUCGCGUCGGCUGUGAAAACCUGGGGCUUAACUCCGGGCUUGCAGCCGAUACGGGCAGACUAGAGUUCGGCAGGGGAGACUGGAAUUCCUGGUGUAGCGGUGAAAUGCGCAGAUAUCAGGAGGAACACCGGUGGCGAAGGCGGUUCUCUGGGCCUUACCUGACGCUGAGGAGCGAAAGCGUGGGGAGCAAACAGG